ACCAUUACCGUCCUCAGCAUGGCCUCCAACUACACAGAAAAAUACUUCAUCGAUUAUCGGUGGCGUCUUGGGCUCCAUUCUUUCCGGAGUCAUCCUCUCCCUGGGUGUUUGGAUGUGGAAAUCAGGCAGGAUGGAAGCACCGUGUUGCCCAAGUACAACGUCUCAGGGACCUAGUGUGGAAACCAUGGGGGACGUUGGAGGUGAAGAACUGAAUAUGGUGUCUGGUGGUUCCCCAGCUGAGCUAGGCGAUGUGUCUGGAGCAGACCCUGAAGGCACAAGGAUGUGUGGAGAGCCCCUGCUCCCCAAGACCUCAUGCCCCCCUUGAACUGAUACCCUGAGCAGGUCUGGCUGGUUAAUGAAAUAAAGAAGGUUGGCUUUA